rnacentral:rRNA from 1 species
UUAUUUUUUAAUAAUUAAUUUUUAUAUAAUUUUUAUAUAAUUAAUAUUUUAGUUAUUUAUAGGAAUAAAUAUUAUAAUAUAAUAAUAUUUUAAUAAUGAUAAAAUAGGUAUUUUAUAUAUAUAAAAUAUAGUAACUCGGCAAAUAUUAUUUUCGCCUGUUUAACAAAAACAUGGUCUUUUGUUUAUAUAAAAGAUCUAACCUGCCCUAUGAUUUAUUUAAAUGGCUGCAGUAUUUUGACUGUACAAAGGUAGCAUAAUCAUUUGUCUUUUAAUUGAAGGCUUGUAUGAAUGGUUGGAUGAAAAAUAUACUUUCUUUAUUUUAUAUAAAAAAUUUAAUUUUCUAGUCAAAAAGCUAGGAUUUUUUUAUAGGACGAGAAGACCCUAUAGAACUUUAUUUUCUUUUUUUAUAAACUUUAUAGAUAAAUAUAAGUUUAUAUAUUUUUGUUAAUUUUGUUGGGGUGAUUGAAAAAAUUUUUUAACUUUUUCUAUUUUUUACAUUUAUAUAUGUUUUUUUGAUCCUUUAUUAUGGAAUAAAAGAUUAAGUUACCUUAGGGAUAACAGCGUUAUUUUUUUGGAGAGUUCUUAUCGAUAAAAAAGUUUGCGACCUCGAUGUUGG